CCGAAAAUGCAAGACUUGCUUUAAUUGUUUUCUGUCAGUGUUUAUAUGUCUUGAUCUAGCACGAGUUAGCAGUGUAAAUAACAUGAGUUCCGUUAUAGUAAAUAAUAUAGAAAGAAAUUGAAGGAAAACAAUUAAAGCAAGUCUUGCAUUUUCGG